AAGUCGUAACAAGGUUUCCGUAGGUGAACCUGCGGAAGGAUCAUUAUUGAAAUAAACCUGAUGGGUUGUUGCUGGCUCUCUAGGGAGCAUGUGCACACCUUGUCAUCUUUAUAUCUCCACCUGUGCACUUUUUGUAGACCUUUCAGGUCUAUGUUGCUUUCAUUUACCCCAAUGUAUGUUAAUAGAAUGUUGUGCCUAUAUAAUAUAUACAACUUUCAGCAACGGAUCUCUUGGCUCUCGCAUCGAUGAAGAACGCAGCGAAAUGCGAUAAGUAAUGUGAAUUGCAGAAUUCAGUGAAUCAUCGAAUCUUUGAACGCACCUUGCGCUCCUUGGUAUUCCGAGGAGCAUGCCUGUUUGAGUGUCAUUAAUAUAUCAACCUUCUCUUUUUUGAGUUGUUUGGAUGUGGGGGUUUGCUGGCCUCUUAAAUGAUUCAGCUCCCCUGAAAUGCAUUAGCAGAACAACCUGUUCAUUGGCGUGAUAAUUAUCUAUGCUAUUGAAUGUGAGGGCAGUUCAGCUUUCUAACCGUCCUAGGACAAUUCAUCAUUAAUGUGACCUCAAAUCAGGUAGGACUACCCGCUGAACUUAA
rnacentral:rRNA from 1 species